rnacentral:rRNA from 1 species
UACGAAGGGGGCUAGCGUUGCUCGGAAUCACUGGGCGUAAAGCGCACGUAGGCGGAUCUUUAAGUCAGGGGUGAAAUCCCGGAGCUCAACUCCGGAACUGCCUUUGAUACUGAGGAUCUCGAGUCCGGGAGAGGUGAGUGGAACUGCGAGUGUAGAGGUGAAAUUCGUAGAUAUUCGCAAGAACACCAGUGGCGAAGGCGGCUCACUGGCCCGGUACUGACGCUGAGGUGCGAAAGCGUGGGGAGCAAACAGGG